CAGUCGCCGCGGGAAUACGGAGGGUGCAAGCGUUAAUCGGAAUUACUGGGCGUAAAGCGUGCGUAGGCGGUUCGUUAAGUCUGUUGCGAAAGCCCCGGGCUCAACCUGGGAAUGGCAAUGGAUACUGGCGAGCUAGAGUGUGUCAGAGGAUGGUGGAAUUCCCGGUGUAGCGGUGAAAUGCGUAGAGAUCGGGAGGAACACCAGUGGCGAAGGCGGCUCACUGGCUCGGUAUUGACGCUGAGGUGCGAAAGCGUGGGGAGCAAACAGGAUUAGAUACCCCUGUAGUCCCUGUCUCUUAUAC
rnacentral:rRNA from 1 species